rnacentral:misc_RNA from 1 species
GAUGAAGAACGUAGCGAAAUGCGAUACGUAAUGUGAAUUGCAGAAUUCAGUGAAUCAUCGAAUCUUUGAACGCAUAUUGCGCUCUCUGGUAUUCCGGAGAGCAUGCUUGUUUGAGUAUCAGUAAACACCUCAACUUCCAUAUCUUUUUUGAAAUGGGAGUUGGACUUGAGUGAUCCCAACGCUUUUCCUCACCGAAAAGUGGCGGGUUACUUGAAAUGCAGGUGCAGCUGGACUUUUCUCUGAGCUAUAAGCAUAUCUAUGUAGUCUGCCUAAAAAACAGAUUAUUACCUUUGCUGCAGCUAACAUAAAGGAGAUUAGUUCUUGUGCUGACUGAUGCAGGAUUCACAAAGACAGGCUUCGGCCGACUUUGUAAACUCGAUCUCAAAUCAAGUAAGACUACCCGCUGAACUUAAGCAUAUCAAUAAGCGGAGGA